rnacentral:rRNA from 1 species
AGCAGCCGCGGUAAUUCCAGCUCCAAUAGCGUAUAUUAAAGUUGUUGCAGUUAAAAAGCUCGUAGUUGAAUUUCGGGGUUAGUAGGUUGGUCAUGCCUCUGGUAUGUACUGGUCUCACUGAUUCCUCCUUCCUGAUGAGCCGUAAUGCCAUUAAUUUGGUGUUGCGGGGAAUUUGGACUGUUACUUUGAAAAAAUUGAGUGUUUAAAGCAAGCUAACGCUUGAAUACAUUAGCAUGGAAUAAUGAAAUAGGACGUUCGAUCCUAUUUUGUUGGUUUCUAGGAUUGACGUAAUGAUUAAUAGGGAUAGUUGGGGGCAUUAGUAUUCAAUUGUCAGAGGUGAAAUUCUUGGAUUUAUUGAAGUACUAACUACUGCGAAAGCAUUUGCCAAGGA